CGGAGCUGCAGGCUGGGAAGGCCAAGAGCAGCCGCCACGGGGUGUCCUGCAAGCCUGCCCCUCACCACACUCCACGGCCCAUCCCACCCAAUGCUGGCUGGGCGAGCAGUCGUGCUCAUCUACCUGGCCUGGAACACCUACCAGGGCCUGGCCAUCCCCCAGGUUGCAGAAUGUGGCCUCUCCUGCUCUCAGGGCUUCACCUGCAGGAGCCGCAUGACCCGGGAUAUUUUCAACAGCUUCUGCCGGCCACCCCCCAUGUCCAUGCCCAGGUCGGUCCUGGGGACCCUGACACUGUCAACCGCCAUGAGAUGCACCCCGCAUGGCAGCUGCUCUCUGCUCCUGCUCAUGCACGCCUCCCUCACGAUGCAUGAGAGCCUUCGGGGCCUAGAGGCCUGCUCCAUGAGCCUGGACACCCAGGAGACACGGUGUCAGAGCGUGCGGGUCUCCCGUGCCUCCCGACGGCUGCAGGCGGGGCGGCAGCUCCAGGUGCACUUGGACUGCUUGGAAGUGAGCGUGGCCCAGAGCCUCUACGUCACCCUGAGGAGUGUCCCGCACUUCUGCGGUGUCCAGCUGGAGCAGCAGUACCAAGUGGAAGGCUGUGGGGACGAGCACGUAGGAAGGAGCGUGCCCGACUGCUUUGGUGAGGCCCCCUCUGCAGCUGGAAAUCUCUCCUACUGGGUGGACCGCAGCCGCAAGGUCAUUCUAGUGCAGGUGCCCGAGGCCCCUGGGGGCCGCGACUACUACGUGCGCCUCUGCCUCAAGUGGUUCACCUGCACAGAGGAGGGCGCCCUGGUGCGGGUGACAACAAACAGAGCCUCGAGGACGGUCUCUCUGCCCUACAGCCAAGAGCUGCCCUGCCUGUGCCUUGAGGGCUGGUCUGCCACCCCCGAUGCUGUGCGGAUCCAGAUCUGCCCCUUUGAAGCCGACACUGAGGCGCUGUGGGACGCCAUCCGCUACCACCCUGGCAGCCAGGCGCUGAGCUGGGAGCCAGCCUGCCCCGUGAGCGGCCACGUGAGCCUGUGCUGGCGCCCGAGGCCAGGGGCCCAGUGCCGCAAGCUAGAGCACUCAGGCCAGCCUGCCCACGGCAGGGUGCAGUACCCACUGGUGGACACGCAGCCCCAGCUCUGCCUGAAGUUCUCCACCAGCCUGGGCUUCUGGCCUGGCAGAUGGCCGUCCAGCCCGCACCCUCUCGGGGCCGCCUCCGGGUCUUCUUCUUCUCGCGCAGUCCCGCCCGAUUCCAGGUGCACCUGUGCCACGGAGGGAAGACGUGGCCCCCUGUCUGCCACCGAGAGCUCCAGGCCACCUCCCUCCCUCCAGCCUCAGGUGACCUCACAGCUGACCCUGCAGUUGCCUUCGUGGACAUCCUGGAGGAGGAGGCCUGUGUACCCCACACCUGCAUCCAGGGUCGGAGGACCGAUGUGCGCUUCUCUGCACCCCAGCAGCUGUGUGACCUCCGCUGCGGAACUCACGAUGGCCUCCCACCCCCCUUUGCCCAACCAGCCACGGAGGCCCAGAUCCCUGGAACCUCUGACUUGGCAGAAGACAGCUAACAACGUGGGCCUGAGCUGCCACCCAGGUGUCUCAUGCAGAAUAAGAAAACAUGCCAGAUGGACUGCUGGGGUGUGGCGUGGGGGACAGCUCACCUCCAGGCACCCCAAAGCUCUGACAGCAAAGGCCAGGUGUCACAGCUGGCCCACCAGGUCUGCCUUCCCAGAGCUCUCGUGCCAGCCUACACGGACCACCAGCUGCCCACCCUGAGCUGCCCCGGCUCCUUUGUCCCUCGCUCAGCCCGCCGCGGCCACCGGGCCUUCUCUCCCUCCCCUAAUGGGGCUGCCGUCCAGGAAGACUAGGGGUGGGCGAGACCUUGUCUGCUCAGUAAACACCCGUCCGCCUGGUUCGCCUCUUCCCUUGAGGGCAAGGGUGGGGUCCGCAGAGCAAGUAUCCCCUUGGGGCAAGUCGGGGGGAGGGUCACAGUGAGGGACCCUUAUUAAAGUGGGCGGAGGCUGUGACUGCCGCCUGGGGUGAGGCCGACCGUGGGCGGUGGACAGCGCCUGCCUGCCCCCACCGCGCAUGAGCUCCCGGGCUGCGCCUGAGGACGUCCUCUGGGCUGGAGACACCAACACCCCAACAGAGUGGCUCCCGGUGUGGGUGUGGGUGUGGGUGGGAGAGCCGCGUCCAGGCCGCCUCCCCAAGUUCAGCCCAAAGACCCACCCAUACCAUUGGAAAUGGGUGUCUGCCUCCUCUGGGACCUCCCAGUGUCCCCACAAAGGGGCUGCUGAGGGGCACCCUGUGGGUGCUGAGACCUGGUCAGGCCAGGGGCUAGAAAGGAGUUGGGGAGUAGUGAGGGAGGACCUCCCGGAAGCGGAGGCCAAGCCCUCAGGCUCCAGGUGCCCCCUCUACCCCAGGUCAGGGUCACAGCCAGCAGGCUGGGGCUCCACGCUCGGCAUGUUUCCUCAUUGCAGGCUUUCCUCUGCAGACCCCUGCCCCCCAGGUGCCUCUCCCUGUUGGGGUACAGGGCUGGUGAGGAGACCAGAGCUCUGGCUCUAGGUGGGCGGCCUGGCCCCAAGUUCUGGCUCCACUGUCCUGGUCCACACAGGAGCCCCUGGAGGUGCACGGAGACACCCCCUCUGAGCAGGGCUCCCCCGGGAAUCCUGCCCACCUGGAGAUGGAGAAGGGGCAGGACCUGCAUGAGGGGGUUGCGGGAGCUGCCCAGGUGUGGGCUCCCUCAGGGCUUCGCCACAAACUGCCAUCCCAGAAGGGGAAACUGAGGCUCAGGCAGAGGCCAUGACUGAGCUCCUGUCCAGGGCCAGGGAAGCUCAGGCUACAGGGCAUGGGGUGGGGAGGGCAUGUGCAGGUCCCAGCUGCCCAGCAGUCCCCAUGGGCUGCUGCCAAGUGUCCAUGGAGCUCAGUGCUGGGUUCUGAGCUGGGCCAGGUUUUGAGACCACACCCAGCGCACCAGGGCCCAGCAGGCCCACUCCCUUGCCAGCAACACCUCCCCCAGGCCGCACCUGCUCAGGAGGAAGGGGCUGACCAGCCACCCCGGAUGGGGGGUGAGUAAGGGCGGAACCACGCCAGGUUCACGGACAAGCUGGGGUGAGCCUGCGGCCGUCCCUCCCCGUUCAUUCCUCAAGCAAGUGCUGAGCCCGGGGCCACGCUGACCCAGUGCUGGAGCAAGCAGCCUAGACGGACUGAGGGGCUGACCUCUGGUCAGCACCUGGAGCUGACCUUUGCAUGGGGCAGGCAGACCACAGGACGCUACCUGUGUGGAUUAUAUGGGCUGCCCAGUGCCAGCAUGAGGCCAGGCAGAAGGCGCUGGGGAAACAAAGGGGAAGUGUGGGAGGGGUUCCAGCUAGAACAGGGUGGUCCCAAGACAGGUGAGUGGACAGUGCGGAGGGGAGAGGCUGAGAGCUGCCUGAUUCUAGCAGGAUCUGGCGGGUGCACGGCGGGGUGCGGUGGGCAGGUGGUGCCGUGGGGUGUCCUCGUGUGCACCGUGGGUACAGCAAACAGAUCAACGCUCUGGCCUCAGAGACUGGAGGGCGGAGCUCCGUGGGCAGAUGUGGAUGCAGCAGCGGGCACGGGCUGUGGACACGGUGAGUUCAGGCCGCCUGCGAGACAUUCAUUUGUUCGCUCAUUUGGCAUUGCUGAUGUGGCCUGCUGUUUGCUCCCUCCCAGUGUACAAGGGGCAGCUCAAGGCAAAGGGGAGAGUCCUGAACGCUACAAGGAUGAUGACGUACAGAGGGCUCUUCAGAAAGAAAAAGUAGAGCAGGACGGAGGGGAGGAGACAGUCACGGGGGCAGAGUGGCCCAGCGGGUCUCCUGCAACAGUGUGAAGGCGAUGAGGCCGCCUGUGGACGUAGUCGGGACAAGCAGAUGAAAAGAAAGUCUCCCACCAACCUGGCAGGCACAACCCUUUCCAUAUGUGACCUCAAGAGAAACAGUGACGUGUCCUCAAGAGGAUCCGACAUAAAGCCAGACAGAGCCUGCCCAGCCCUCCCCGGUCCCUCUGCACUCUGAUGCCCCAGCCCAGCCUCACUUCGGGCCUCGUGGUGUCUGUGUAUCUGAAGAUUUUUAAUAUCCAUCGCACUGCCUUCCGGUCUGCAAGGAGCCUAAGGAGAAAUCUGCUGGGAAUCUUGCCAAAGAGCCCAUGUAUGUGACCAGUCACCUCCUUUGCUGCUUUCAAGAUCCUCUCUGGCUUUAGCUUUUGACAAUUUGACAUGUGUCUUGGCACAGAUCUCCCUGACUGUUAUCAAUGCUGUCUCUCUCAAAACCCCUAUGAUGUUUUUUGAAGAAAUAGAAAAAAAAUUUUAUCCUAAAAUUCAUAUGGAAUCACAAGGGACCUGAAUAGACAAAAUAAUCUUGAAAAGGUACAAAGUUGGACUCACAUUUCCUGAUUUCAAAACUUACUAUGAAGCUACAGUAAUCAAGAGAAUGUGGUUCUGGCACCUGGGCAGACAUCCUUGCUCAGAGGAAGACAGCUGGGCCUCAAGAGCUAAAAUCUCAUACAUAUGGUCAACUGAUUUUCAACAAGGUGGAAAGAUUAUUUCAAUGGAGAAAGGACAGACUUUUCAACACGUGGUGCUGGGGAAACUGGAUGUCCACAUGGACAAGAGUGAAGUUGGACCCUUAGGCAAGUGUCCGUCUAGAGGCGGAUGGAUAAACAAAAUGUGUAGACAUACGAUGCAAUAUGGACCAACUUAAAAAGGAAUGAAGUUCUGAUAGAAGAUAGAACAUGGAUGAACCCUGAAAACAUUACAGCAAGUGAAAUAAGCCACCCACAAAGGGCCACGUAGUGUAUGUGUGAUUCCACUUGUAUGAGCAACCUGGGACAGGCAGAUUGAUGCCUGUGCGAUAGAGAUUAGAGGCUAUGUGGGCCCCGGGAGGUGGGAGUUACUGUUUCAUGGAUACAGUUUCUGUUCGGAAUGAUAAAAAAUGUUCUGGAAAUAGAUGGUGAUGAAAGUUGUACAACAUUGUAACUGUAUUUUAUGUCCUUACAUUGUACUUUUAAAAAUGGUUAAAAUGGAAAUUUCUCUCUUAUGUAUAUUUUACCAAAAAAAAAAAAAAAAGAGGACUUGACAGCCUGGUGUGUGACUCGUAGUCCAUCCUGUAUUUACCUGGUAACUGGGGUAGCCAUUCAAAUAAAAAAAAAUCUGAAUGAUCAUAUGUCUGUGACAAGCAGGUAGGUAGGUACAACUGGGAGACAAGAGGUUAAGUCGCAAUCCUACUGGGACAGGGAGGGGGUGCUGCGCACAGUGUGAUUCUUUCAAAGGGAUGAUGUGAAACUAUGGAGAAGCACAUUCCUGGGCUGUUACACUGGCAAGAGGCUUAUUUACCUUUUCAGGUUUGCAUACAUCUCAAAGGGACAGAAAGUUUCACAAGUUUCCAGAAGCAAAUGCCCUAAGAAAAGGGAGGGAGGGGGUCCCCGUUCUGGAGGAGGAGCCUGCAGGGCGCUGGGAGGCAUCGGGGCAAGGACCCCCGCGGUGGGCACCCAGGGGUCAGGAGGGCGGGCGGGGCGAGGAGGGGCUCCUGGGCCCUGAGAGGCCUUGGCUCGGGGCCGCAGGGCGGGGGGCGGGGGCCGCGUGGACGCGCCCGCGCUCUCCGCCCCUGGUCCGGUUCACAGGUGUGGUUUCCUCCAGGUCCCGGCCGGCUGCGGAGGUCGCGGUCCCGGGGCACAGGCGGCGGUCACGGCGGGGUGGGAGGGGGCGCAGCCGCGAUGCCCGGCGGCCCGACCAGCCAGGGGCGGGGGCCUGGCCCGCAGGCCUGGGGGGCGGGCGAAGGGGCGGCCGGAGAGCUCGGCUGGGGAGGCCCCCCCACCGCCCGGGCCUUCCUGGGCACCGCCUGGGGGACACCUCCGCCGGCAGGCGCCCACUCACCCCAGACCAGGCCCUCCCAGGACCGCUCACCGGGGGUCCCGGGGCCAGCUGGGGGCGCGGGGGGCCUUGCUGUGCGGCGAAAGCCGCGCUCGCAGGUCGCUCGCCGUGUUUUUCGGUUUAUCUAAUUUUGAACCACCACCCAGCGCCGUUGACCUGUUUUGGGGCGCUGCUCUGGGAGCGUUAACCCUUUCGGAUGCUGUCACCACCGCGGGGCACAGUCCGCGCCGCCGGCCCGACGCCCUCCUUGGGCGCCCUGUGGGGGUCUCCGAGGACACCCCGUAAGCGGGAGCAGCCCACGCGGCCUUCGGAGGCCGGACCCCUCGGCACGCUGCCCACUCACCUGGGGGCUGUGGGGAUCCCGCGUGUCUGCGUGGGGCGGCCCCCCAGGCUGCGGACACCAGUCCGGGGAGAAGGCGCUGCGCCUCGGUCAGACCGCAGCCUGGGUGGGGGAGGCUUCUUGA